rnacentral:rRNA from 1 species
GACGUAGGACCCGAGCGUUAUCCGGAUUUACUGGGCGUAAAGCGCGCGUAGGCGGCUUUCUAAGUUGGUUGUGACAGCCCCGGGCUCAACUCGGGGAAGCCGGUCAAGACUGGAAGGCUUGAGAGCAGCAGAGGUUGGUGGAAUUCCCGGUGGAGUGGUGAAAUGCGUAGAGAUCGGGAGGAACACCAGUGGCGAAAGCGGCCAACUGGGCUGACUCUGACGCUGAGGUGCGAAAGCGUGGGGAGCGAACGGG